rnacentral:antisense_RNA from 1 species
UGUGGGAGCUGGCUUGCCUGCGAUAUCGGUGGAACAUUCACCACUGCUAUCGCAGGCAAGCCAGCUCCCACA